rnacentral:rRNA from 1 species
AAGCGAGCGGCGGAUGGGUGAGUAACACGUGGGGAACCUGCCCCUAAGUCUGGGAUACCAUUUGGAAACAGGUGCUAAUACCGGAUAAUAAAGCAGAUCGCAUGAUCAGCUUUUGAAAGGCGGCGUAAGCUGUCGCUAAGGGAUGGCCCCGCGGUGCAUUAGCUAGUUGGUAAGGUAACGGCUUACCAAGGCGACGAUGCAUAGCCGAGUUGAGAGACUGAUCGGCCACAUUGGGACUGAGACACGGCCCAAACUCCUACGGGAGGCAGCAGUAGGGAAUCUUCCACAAUGGACGCAAGUCUGAUGGAGCAACGCCGCGUGAGUGAAGAAGGUUUUCGGAUCGUAAAGCUCUGUUGUUGGUGAAGAAGGAUAGAGGUAGUAACUGGCCUUUAUUUGACGGUAAUCAACCAGAAAGUCACGGCUAACUACGUGCCAGCAGCCGCGGUAAUACGUAGGUGGCAAGCGUUGUCCGGAUUUAUUGGGCGUAAAGCGAGCGCAGGCGGAAAAAUAAGUCUAAUGUGAAAGCCCUCGGCUUAACCGAGGAACUGCAUCGGAAACUGUUUUUUCUUGAGUGCAGAGGAGGAGAGUGGAACUCCCAUGUGUAAGCGGUGGAAUGCGUAGAUAUAUGGAA